UAGNCUAACUGAAAUCACAAAUCACAAAAUGUGCUUAUUGUGAUAACGUAAGGGAAAAAAUUGAUAUUACCUUACUAUAAGUGUUGUCUAAAUAACUGGUGCCAGAAGACUCGGUAACACCAGAAACGCGAACGUUAGUCGUCUUAAACAGGCGUAAAGGGUAAGUAGGCUGCUUUAAAGUCUAUUUUUAAAUAAGCUAGUUAAUAAUAAUCCACCCUCCCACUUUAUUACUUGCCCCUCUCCUUAGGAGAGGGCUAGUAACUUAGGUCAGCAGAGCUAAGGGAGAAGCAACUCUGCUUUCUUAUUUGCUAAGGCAGAAUGCCUUAGCAAAUAAGAAUAAAAAUAAGCAGGGGUCUAUUGCUAGGGAGGGUGGGCCAUAUCUUUUAAUAAAUUUUCAGACCUUAAAUGAUAAAUUAAGGCUAAGUUAAAUGAAAAUAGGGUAUUAUUAUUAGUAGUCCUGACCUUAGGCAAGAAUCCCCCUCGCCUAAUCUAAUUUUAAUAUAAAUUAGAAUAAACGAGCUAGGCGAGUCUAGCUAUCCCCUGCCUUCUCCUGCUAGGCAGGAGAGGAAAGAGGACAGCGACUCCUCUACUACGGCUCUCCUCUAUGACCUCUUUUCUCCUCUCCAAUGGAAGGAGUCUAGCCUUAAACGGAGGGAGGAUAUACGAAGGGUAGCCCUCCCCUCUCCUGCCAAUCUCCUGCCUCUCCAAAGGAGAGGCAGGAGAAGGAGAGGGGGGAGAGAUAUUAUUUAUAUAUUAAUUAUUAAUGGAGACAAAAAUAGAUACACUUAGAGUCUAGCAUCAUCAUUGAGAUCAACCAAAUAAUGUUUAGUGUAAGGGCGACAUCUAAAGAUACUAAGUAGAAUACUAACGGUGAAAACUUUUUAUCUGGUAAUGAUUGACGCUGAGGUACGAAAGUGAGAACAGGGAAUAGGAUUAGAUACCCAGUUACCUCUCACCGUCAACGAUGAAUGGUAGUUGUUAGUUUAAUUAAAUUAGUGACGAUGUUAACGCGAUAACCAUUCCGCCUUGAGAGUACGGUUGCAAAACUGAAACCAAAAAAAUUAGUCGGUCUCGGAGCAAACGAAGGUAAGUCAU
rnacentral:rRNA from 1 species